AGCCCCAGAGGGAAGGGAAGGUCCCGGCAGAGGCAGGGCAGGGACACCCCGAGCUGCGGGGCCCCGCCGUGCCCGUCCCGCUCCGCAGGGCGCAGCCGCUCCCCGGCACUUGCGCUUUUGCUUCGCUCAGCGAGGGAGGGACGAGCCUUGGGGACCUCUGCACACACACCGGGCACAGCCUCCGGGACAGCAAAGGCUGUGGAGGAGAAGAAGGAAAAAACACAAGAGAGGUGCCAGGCCCAGCCCAGCCCAGCUCCCCCAGCAGGAUGCAGAGCCACGUCACCUGUUGAACCCCUGUGUUCAGAGAAGAGGCUGAAAUGCCACCCAAAAGGUGACAGGGACACAGCUCCAGUGAGGAAUCAUCCCCUUGGGCACACAGCAAUGCUUUUCCAGGUGUGGAUCCCUCCUGCCCAUCCUGCAGGUGACCCCAGAGCAUGAGCAGGGCAGGAGGGCAGGGCUGGAAUUAACCCCCCCCAUGCCAAACCCCCACGAUGAGCUGGUGAGAGGAGCCUCCCACACGGAUCCCUUUGGGUGCUGAGGCCACCCUGGCUGCAGGACAGGAGGGAUGGACGAGUUAUGACG
rnacentral:lncRNA from 1 species